CCUACGGGCGGCUGCAGUGGGGAAUAUUGCACAAUGGGCGCAAGCCUGAUGCAGCCAUGCCGCGUGUAUGAAGAAGGCCUUCGGGUUGUAAAGUACUUUCAGUCGUGAGGAAGGUGUUAAGGUUAAUAACCUUAGCAAUUGACGUUAGCGACAGAAGAAGCACCGGCUAACUCCGUGCCAGCAGCCGCGGUAAUACGGAGGGUGCGAGCGUUAAUCGGAAUUACUGGGCGUAAAGGGCACGCAGGCGGGUAAAUAAGGUGGAAUUGGAAUUCCCGGGCGUAACCUGGGGAAGGGAUUUAAGGCUUGUUAGCUAGAGUCUUGGAGAGGGGGGUUGAAGUCCAUGUGUAGCGGAUGAAUGCGUAGGGGUGGUGAAGGAAACCGGGGGCGAAAGGGGGCCGCUGGAAAAAGAGUGGAGCGCAUGUGGGAAAGCGUGGGGAGCAAACAGGAUUAGAUACCCUAGUAGUC
rnacentral:rRNA from 1 species